GACGAACGCUGGCGGCGUGCUUAACACAUGCAAGUCGAACGGAGUGGCGAACGGGUGAGUAACACGUGGGUGAUCUGCCUUGCACUUCGGGAUAAGCUUGGGAAACCGGGUCUAAUACCGGUCAGUGCAAGAUGAGCUCGCGGCCAACCAGCUUGUUGGUGGGGUAAUGGCCUACCAAGGCGUCGACGGGUAGCCGGCCUGAGAGGGUGUACGGCCACAUUAGGGCUAAGAUACGGACCAGACUGCUACGGGGGGCAACAGUGGGGAAUAUUGCACAAUGGGCGGGAGCCUGAUGCAGCGACGCCGCGUGGGGGAUGAAGGCCUUCGGGUUGUAAACUCCUUUCGGCAGGGACGCGGUACCUGUAUAAGAAGCACCGGCUAACUACGUGCCAGCAGCCGCGGUAAUUC
rnacentral:rRNA from 1 species